rnacentral:rRNA from 1 species
CCUACGGGGGGCAGCAGUCGGGAAUUUUGGGCAAUGGGGGAAACCCUGACCCAGCAACGCCGCGUGAAGGAUGAAGUAUUUCGGUAUGUAAACUUCGAAAGAAUGGGAAGAAUUAAUGACGGUACCAUUUAUAAGGUCCGGCUAACUACGUGCCAGCAGCCGCGGUAAUACGUAGGGACCAAGCGUUGUUCGGAUUUACUGGGCGUAAAGGGCGCGUAGGCGGCGUGGUAAGUCACUUGUGAAAUCUCUGAGCUUAACUCAGAACUGCCAAGUGAUACUGCUGUGCUUGAGUGUGGAAGGGGCAAUCGGAAUUCUUGGUGUAGCGGUGAAAUGCGUAGAUAUCAAGAGGAACACCUGAGGUGAAGACGGGUUGCUGGGCCAACACUGACGCUGAGGCGCGAAAGCCAGGGGAGCAAACGGGAUUAGAUACCCCAGUAGUC